AUGGCACUGCCAGCAGCGUUUGUGUCGCGGAGAUGCCAGCAGCGUCUGUGUCGCUGAGGUCUCCUACAACCAUCGGAAUUUUUCUAUCAGGUUGCAACACAUGGCUGUACACCUGCUCAUACAGCUCGAUAUUGUAACAAGGUGCAAUAAACUCAUCAACCUCUUUUCCAAGACAGUAAAUAGCACUGAUAGCGUGGCAACAAGGCAAUCCAGAUAGGUCCCAAUAUCUGCAGCUGCAAGUUCUUCUGUCCAAGUUGACAGUAAACCUUCUCGAUGCACAUUGUUGUACCUACUGACUUUGAACCACUGUGACCUGCUGGGUACAAGUGAUCCAUAUAUUCUCCAUGGACAACCGACCCAACUGCAUUCCGCAAGAACUCUUGUCCUCUCAUCUUUUGGAAAUCUCAAAUGAUGGUGCUCCUUCAAUCCAUAAUUGAUAAGUGCUUGUUUGAACUGUCUACUAUCAGUGAAGCUUUGCCCAACUUCAAACUCUUUCACCUGAGCACUCUCAUCAUAUACUCUGUGUUUGGUCUUCCUUGUUCUCACUUCUCCAUCACUAUCUUCAUCGAACGAAAGGUCAUCAUCCGUGUCAAAGCACUCACUUCCCUCUUCUUGUUCUUCUUUAAUAUUCUCUGGAACAAUGAUCUCUUCUUUCACUUUAGCCCUGUCCUCUCCAAGCAUUUGCCUUCUGACACUCUCCUUCAAUUCUUCUACAUACUUCCUGUAGAAUAUGGCCUCAUCAUCGUCGGCACUACUAUCUCCACUGUCUACUUCAUGAACAUUCUCGUAGUCACUAUCUGAUCUGUCCUCAGCAUCCUCUCCUUCAUGUGCACUCUCAAUUUGGAUUCCUUUGCCUUUGUCCUGCUGAUUCAUUGGUGCCCUCACAACUGGCAUUUUUUUGCUACAUUUGGAACAAAUUGGUUAAGUAAUUGCUGGUCAAGUUGCUCAAUUUGCCUCUCAUACUCAACUUGGUGCGCAUGCUCCAAUUUAAUCUGUAGUCAUGCUCAACUUUCUCAUCUUCUAUCUGCUCUUUUGUCACUGCUCCUUGCUCCUCAAAUCCACCUUCUUCGUCUGAACUAGCAAAUGCAGUUUUUUCUGGACUAACUGCAAAUAUGUCAACAUAACCAUCUGCAACUCUAUUCACAUGCCGAACCAUGUUUAUGACAUUUGUGCUGUCAACAAGGCUGCACAUGAAAUUCAAAUUUCUCUCCUUUUCAAUCAGUCUCCAACUUAGAGUGGUCUCUUCCAAAUCUUCAUGAGAAAUUGCCAUAUAAUCAUGUAGAUGCCUCUUGAGGGCUUCUAUCGACAGGUUUGUAAUGGGCACGGAUGAGCAGCCACUCUUUCCUCCAAUAUAGGCCAUGGGGGUGGCGCAAAGACGAAGCAGGAGCGAUGCAAGGGUUGAGGAUGGGCAAUGGCUGGCCGGAGACGCUGCUGUGUAGGCUACGGUUGGGAAAAAAGAGCAAAGGGGAAAACAAGAAAGAAGAUAUACCGAUUUUACGGGAUCUAUUCUACCAGAGAGGUUGUCUGGUUGUCUCUGAUACGCCAAAAUCAUUUGAAGCUAAACCAUAAACCGCUUUUACAGUAAACGUU